AUUGAACGCUAGCGGGAUGCCUUACACAUGCAAGUCGAACGGAGUGGCGAACGGGUGAGUAAUGUAUCGGAACGUGCCCAGUAGCGGGGGAUAACUACGCGAAAGCGUAGCUAAUACCGCAUACUAUUGGAGCGGCCGAUAUCGGAUUAGCUAGUUGGUGGGGGAACGGCUCACCAAGGCGACGAUCCGUAGCUGGUUUGAUAGGACGACCAGCCACGCUGUGGCGUAGACCCGGCCCAGCCUCCUACGGGGGGCAUCAGUGGGGAAUUUUGGGCAAUGGGGUGAACCCUGAUCCGGCGCUCCCGCGUGUGGGAUGAAGGCCUUCGGGUUGUGAAGCACUUUUGGCAGGAAAGCGGUACCUGCAGAAUGAGCACCGGCUAACUACGUGCCAGCCGCCGCGGUAAUAC
rnacentral:rRNA from 1 species